GACGAACGCUGGCGGCGUGCUUAACACAUGCAAGUCGAGCGGUAAGGCCCUUUCGGGGGUACACGAGCGGCGAACGGGUGAGUAACACGUGGGUGACUUGCCCUCAGCUCUGGGAUAAGCCUGGGAAACCGGGUCUAAUACUGGAUAUGACUCCAUGACGCAUGUUGUGGGGUGGAAAGCCUUGUGCGGCUGAGGAUGGGCCCGCGGCCUAUCAGCUUGUUGGUGGGGGAUGGCCUACCAAGGCGACGACGGGUAGCCGGCCUGAGAGGGCGACCGGCCACACUGGGACUGAGACACGGCCCAGACUCCUACGGGAGGCAGCAGUGGGGAAUCUUGCGCAAUGGGCGAAAGCCUGACGCAGCGACGCCGCGUGAGGGAUGACGGCCUGGUGUAA
rnacentral:rRNA from 1 species